GACGAACGCUGGCGGCGUGCUUAACACAUGCAAGUCGAACGUGAUUUUUGUGGAAAUUCUUUCGGGAAUGGAAAUGAAAUGAAAGUGGCGAACGGGUGAGUAACACGUGAGCAACCUACCUUACACAGGGGGAUAGCCGUUGGAAACGACGAUUAAUACCGCAUGAGACCACAGAAUCGCAUGAUAUAGGGGUCAAAGAUUUAUCGGUGUAAGAAGGGCUCGCGUCUGAUUAGCUAGUUGGAAGGGUAAAGGCCUACCAAGGCGACGAUCAGUAGCCGGUCUGAGAGGAUGAACGGCCACAUUGGAACUGAGACACGGUCCAAACUCCUACGGGAGGCAGCAGUGGGGAAUAUUGCACAAUGGGGGGAACCCUGAUGCAGCGACGCCGCGUGAGCGAAGAAGGUUUUCGAAUCGUAAAGCUCUGUCCUAUGAGAAGAUAAUGACGGUAUCAUAGGAGGAAGCCCCGGCUAAAUACGUGCCAGCAGCCGCGGUAAUACGUAUGGGGCGAGCGUUGUCCGGAAUUAUUGGGCGUAAAGGGUACGUAGGCGGUUUUUUAAGUCAGGUGUGAAAGCGUGAGGCUUAACCUCAUUAAGCACUUGAAACUGGAAGACUUGAGUGAAGGAGAGGAAAGUGGAAUUCCUAGUGUAGCGGUGAAAUGCGUAGAUAUUAGGAGGAAUACCGGUGGCGAAGGCGACUUUCUGGACUUUUACUGACGCUCAGGUACGAAAGCGUGGGGAGCAAACAGGAUU
rnacentral:rRNA from 1 species